rnacentral:rRNA from 1 species
AUUGAAGUGUUCAAGCCAGGCAGAUCCAUUUUCUGCCACCGAAUACAUUAGCAUGGGAUAAUGGAAUAGGACCCUGUCCUCCUAUUUUCAGUUGGUUUUGGCAGCGCGAGGACUAGGGUAAUGAUUAAUAGGGAUAGUUGGGGGCAUUAAUAUUUAAUUGUCAGAGGUGAAAUUCUUGGAUUUAUGAAAGAUUAACUUCUGCGAAAGCAUCUGCCAAGGAUGUUUUCAUUAAUCAAGAACGAAAGUUAGGGGAUCGAAGACGAUCAGAUACCGUCGUAGUCUUAACCAUAAACGAUGCCGACCAGCGAUUAGGAGACGUUGAAUACAAAACACCACCAUCGGCGCGGUCGUCCUUGGCGUCUCGGUCCUUCACGGGGCCGGGGCGCGGGGGCGGCUUAGCCCGGUGGCACCGGUGAAUGACUCCCCUAGCAGCUUGUGAAAA